CAGCAGCCACGGUAAUACGAGGGGGGCAAGCGUUGUUUGGAAUUAUUGGGCGUAAAGGGCGCGUAGGCGGUUUGGCAAGUUUGGUGUGAAAUCUUCGGGCUCAACUCGAAGUCUGCACCGAAAACUGCCGGGCUUGAGUAUGGGAGAGGUGAGUGGAAUUUCCGGUGUAGCGGUGAAAUGCGUAGAUAUCGGAAGGAACACCUGUGGCGAAAGCGGCUCACUGGACCAUUACUGACGCUGAGGCGCGAAAGCUAGGGGAGCAAACAGGAUUAGAUACCCCCGUAGUCCCUGUCUCUUAUAC
rnacentral:rRNA from 1 species